rnacentral:rRNA from 1 species
AGAGCGAACGCUGGCGGCAGGCCUAACACAUGCAAGUCGAGCGGCCGUAGUAAUACGGCAGCGGCAGACGGGAUAGUAACACGUGGGAACGCGCCCUUCGGUUCGGAAUAACUCAGGGAAACUUGAGCUAAUACCGGAUACGCCCUUACGGGGAAAGAUUUAUUGCCGAAGGAACGGCCCGCGUCCGAUUAGCUAGUUGGUGAGGUAAUGGCUCACCAAGGCUACGAUCGGUAGCUGGUCUGAGAGGAUGACCAGCAUCACUGGGACUGAGACACGGCCCAGACUCCUACGGGAGGCAGCAGUGGGGAAUAUGGACAAUGGGCGAAAGCCUGAUCCAGCCAUGCCGCGUGGAUGAUGAAGGCCUUAGGGUUGUAAAGUCCUUUUAACGGGGAAGAUAAUGACGGUACCGUAGAAUAAGCCCCGGCUAACUUCGCGCCAGCAGCCGC